rnacentral:rRNA from 1 species
GGUCUCAGUUCAGAUUGCAGGCUGCAACCCGCCUGCAUGAAGUCGGAAUUGCUAGUAAUCGCGGAUCAGCAUGCCGCGGUGAAUACGUUCCCGGGCCUUGUACACACCGCCCGUCACACCAUGGGAGCCGGUAAUACCCGAAGUCAGUAGUCCAACCUCGUGAGGACGCUGCCGAAGGUAGGAUUGGCGACUGGGGUGAAGUCGUAACAAGGUAGC